GAAAUGCGAUAAGUAAUGUGAAUUGCAGAAUUCAGUGAAUCAUCGAAUCUUUGAACGCACCUUGCGCUCCUUGGUAUUCCGAGGAGCAUGCCUGUUUGAGUGUCAUUUAAUUCUCAACCCCUCCAGCUUUUUUCUUUGGGCUGGGUUUGGUGGCUUGGAUGUGGGGGAUCAUAGUUGCGGGCCUCUUCAGAGGUCGGCUCCCCUGAAAUGCAUUAGCGGAACCGUUUGCGGGAACUGUCACUGGUGUGAUAACUAUCUACGCCAAAGACAACUGCUCUCUGGUAGUUCUGCUUCCAAUUGUCCUUCACCUUGGACAACGAUAUCUGAAUGCUUGACCUCAAAUCAGGUAGGACUACCCGCUGAACUUAA
rnacentral:misc_RNA from 1 species